rnacentral:rRNA from 1 species
UGCUGUGAACUCGAAGAGUAGGGCGGGACACGUGGUAUCCUGUCUGAAUAUGGGGGGACCAUCCUCCAAGGCUAAAUACUCCUGACUGACCGAUAGUGAACCAGUACCGUGAGGGAAAGGCGAAAAGAACCCCGGCGAGGGGAGUGAAAAAGAACCUGAAACCGUGUACGUACAAGCAGUGGGAGCCUCUUUAUGGGGUGACUGCGUACCUUUUGUAUAAUGGGUCAGCGACUUAUAUUCUGUAGCAAGGUUAACCGUAUAGGGGAGCCGAAGGGAAACCGAGUCUUAACUGGGCGUUAAGUUGCAGGGUAUAGACCCGAAACCCGGUGAUCUAGCCAUGGGCAGGUUGAAGGUUGGGUAACACUAACUGGAGGACCGAACCGACUAAUGUUGAAAAAUUAGCGGAUGACCUGUGGCUGGGGGUGAAAGGCCAAUCAAACCGGGAGAUAGCUGGUUCUCCCCGAAAGCUAUUUAGGUAGCGCCUCGUGAACUCAUCUUCGGGGGUAGAGCACUGUUUCGGCUAGGGGGCCAUCCCGGCUUACCAACCCGAUGCAAACUACGAAUACCGAAGAAUGUUAUCACGGGAGACACACGGCGGGUGCUAACGUCCGUCGUGAAGAGGGAAACAACCCAGACCGCCAGCUAAGGUCCCAAAGUCAUGGUUAAGUGGGAAACGAUGUGGGAAGGCACAGACAGCCAGGAUGUUGGCUUAGAAGCAGCCAUCAUUUAAAGAAAGCGUAAUAGCUCACUGGUCGAGUCGGCCUGCGCGGAAGAUGUAACGGGGCUAAACCAUGCACCGAAGCUGCGGCAGCGACGCUUAUGCGUUGUUGGGUAGGGGAGCGUUCUGUAAGCCGUUGAAGGUGUGCUGUGAGGCAUGCUGGAGGUAUCAGAAGUGCGAAUGCUGACAUAAGUAACGAUAAAGCGGGUGAAAAGCCCGCUCGCCGGAAGACCAAGGGUUCCUGUCCAACGUUAAUCGGGGCAGGGUGAGUCGACCCCUAAGGCGAGGCCGAAAGGCGUAGUCGAUGGGAAACAGGUUAAUAUUCCUGUACUUGGUGUUACUGCGAAGGGGGGACGGAGAAGGCUAUGUCAGCCGGGCGACGGUUGUCCCGGUUUAAGCAUGUAGGCGGAGGUUCCAGGUAAAUCCGGUACCUUGUUAACGCUGAGGUGUGAUGACGAGGCACUACGGUGCUGAAGUGAUAAAUGCCCUGCUUCCAGGAAAAGCCUCUAAGCAUCAGGUAACACGAAAUCGUACCCCAAACCGACACAGGUGGUCAGGUAGAGAAUACCAAGGCGCUUGAGAGAACUCGGGUGAAGGAACUAGGCAAAAUGGUGCCGUAACUUCGGGAGAAGGCACGCUGAUGUGUAGGUGAAGCCCCUGCGGGCGGAGCUGAAAUCAGUCGAAGAUACCAGCUGGCUGCAACUGUUUAUUAAAAACACAGCACUGUGCAAACACGAAAGUGGACGUAUACGGUGUGACGCCUGCCCGGUGCCGGAAGGUUAAUUGAUGGGGUUAGCGGCAACGCGAAGCUCUUGAUCGAAGCCCCGGUAAACGGCGGCCGUAACUAUAACGGUCCUAAGGUAGCGAAAUUCCUUGUCGGGUAAGUUCCGACCUGCACGAAUGGCGUAAUGAUGGCCAGGCUGUCUCCACCCGAGACUCAGUGAAAUUGAACUCGCUGUGAAGAUGCAGUGUACCCGCGGCAAGACGGAAAGACCCCGUGAACCUUUACUAUAGCUUGACACUGAACACUGGUCCUUGAUGUGUAGGAUAGGUGGGAGGCUUUGAAGCGUGGACGCCAGUCUGCGUGGAGCCAACCUUGAAAUACCACCCUUUAAUGGCUGGUGUUCUAACGUAGACCCGUUACCCGGGUUGCGGACAGUGUCUGGUGGGUAGUUUGACUGGGGCGGUCUCCUCCCAAAGAGUAACGGAGGAGCACGAAGG